GUUCGGCGUGAUAGUUCCACUAGCAAUAAUAACUCAUUGGGUCAAAACCAUCCUCCCAAAAUACUUAAGCUCAGUUAUUAUUGCUAAGCUGGAGUUUUCUUAUAUACCCAAUAGCAAUCACAUUCCUAUCCGAAGUGGAAUUAUUGGGGUGUCACAAAGAAUCUUUCUUACAAUUUAAAAUUCUGAGAUUUUCUCUUCCAUAUUAGCACAUAUAUUAAUAAUAUCUUCCAGUCUAGUAAAAUAAUCAGUAAAAAAUUCAUACUCCUCCAUACGAAUAGAAUCAAAUUGGCUAGUAAGCAUUUUGAACUUCUAAAUUUUUACUAGACGUAUACCCUCAUGUGUAACUCGUAGAAUAUCCGAAAUCUCCUUAUCUGUUUCACACGCCGAGAUGCGUGAAAACUCAGUUUGAAACAGAGCAUUAAAUAAAGUAUUAAUUCCUUUUUUCAUUGUAAGAAGUCUCGCUCUCAUCCUUUGACCACUUAUUUCGUGGCUUAGGUAUGGUUGCAUUGCAGUUUAAUCUGUUGGAUGUUUCCAUCCGAAUUCCAU
rnacentral:lncRNA from 1 species